rnacentral:piRNA from 1 species
UUCGCUAGUUGGCUGCUGCAUAUCUAAGC